CCCUGUGAAUGAUUUGGAUCUAAUUACUCAUCUUAUCACUGGUCUAGAUCAGUCAUAUUAUCCUGUAGUUGUCUAUAUUGAGGCAAACAUGUUGAAUAUGGAUCUUAGUGAGGUUUAUGCUAUGCUUCUCACAC
rnacentral:snoRNA from 1 species